rnacentral:rRNA from 1 species
GUGAGGAAUAUUGCGCAAUGGAGGCAACUCUGACGCGGCCAUGCCGCGUGCAGGAAGAAGGCGCUACGCGUUGUAAACUGCUUUUAACCGGGAAGAAACCCCAGGACGUGUCCUGGGUUGACGGUACCGGAGGAAUAAGCACCGGCUAACUUCGUGCCAGCAGCCGCGGUAAUACGAAGGGUGCAAGCGUUAUCCGGAUUCAUUGGGUUUAAAGGGUGCGUAGGCGGAGCGUUAAGUCAGUGGUGAAAUCCUGCAGCUUAACUGUAGACUUGCCAUUGAUACUGGCGCUCUUGAGUGCGCUUGAAGUGGGCGGAAUGUGCCGUGUAGCGGUGAAAUGCUUAGAUAUGGCACAGAACACCAAUUGCGAAGGCAGCUCACUAAGGCGAUACUGACGCUGAGGCACGAAAGCGUGGGGAUCGAACAGGAUUAGAAACCCCGGUAGUCC